rnacentral:miRNA from 10 species
UGAGGCAGGAGAAUUGCUUGAACCCAGGAGGUGGAGGUUGUAGUGAGCCGAGAUCGCGCCACUGCACUCCAGCCUGGUGACAGAGCGAGACUCCAUCUCA